AUUAAUAACAAAACUGUUGACAGUCAAGUUUCAAGCUUUAUUCCAAUUGCAGCCUCAACCCUACAAGAACUGAGGUAAGCUUGAAUAAGGAUUGAAAUCUUUGCCAUAUUUCAGAAACAUUAAGACAGUUCGUGUAAUUAGUAGACUCUUCACUUCAUGUUAUUCCUGUACUUAAUAAUUUUAAAAUGUCAGGAAAUGUAAACUAUUUUUCCUUAACAUGAAGUUUCUAUUAAUUAGAAUAGUCUUCAUUUGCUUUAUGUACCACAAGAGUUUGUUUUAAGAAAUGAUACAUUUGCUGAUUACAUUUCAGGUCCUUCAGUUUCAUUGAGGUUUAACAAGGCUCAAAUGCCUUGUUGUUUAUAUGCUGGUGAUCUUAGUAGUGAUAAUAAUGAUGAUGAUGAAGGCAAUAAUGAUAGUAACAAUACCUACAAAUGUGAACUAUAGAUUAUUUAGUAUGUCAGCUUGUUUUAGAAAGCUAUAACUCUUACUAAUUUGCUUUCAGUGGCUUUCAGCAUGAAUUCAGAAUUUUGUUCUGAAUGCUUGCUUGCCAAAAGGCAACACUAAGAUCAAUCUUCUGCUCUUUUAAAUAGGUUGCAAGUAUGUGGAUUGAUAUUAAGAUCUCUGGUGCCAGUUAUAAAUGUAUUUUGCUAAGUGACUAAUAAAAGGCAAUUGUUUACGUGUUCAUUCCUUUUUAAGUGUUUGUACAAUAAGAGCUGUUGUAGUUUAAAAAAAAAAAGUUUUUUUUUUUUUCCCUUGGUAAUUGCUUGUUCCUUUCAUAAUACUGCUGUAAUUGUCUUUAGAAACAUAACUAGAAAUCUUCCAUGAUUGUUACUUGUGUUACAGAAUAUCAGAGCUCAACAAAACCUUGCAAGAAAUGAGUGAGUCAUCCGUUAUGGAAUGCAGUUCAGAAAACCAGAGGUUUGUUGUUGUUAUUUUUUUUUAAUUUCAUAUAUUUAAUAGCUGCUGCAUAUUUAAGAGCCUGUGAUAUAUCAUCAUGUGGAUGUAUAACAGAAGAAAUAUUUCCUAGUAAGUCGAGUCUGAGAAACAGGCUGGAGAAAUAUAAGCAGGCUAGUAAGGAAAGAAAUUCUGAUCCCAUUAUACUUACUAAUGAUUUAUUUUGUUUGUUUACCAGACUGCCUUGCUUUUCAUUAAUCUUCUGUUUAAACACAGACUAACCUGCCAUGUUUUUCCUUCAUCUUCAAAUUAGCUGAGUUACACAGCUUCUUAGUCACUCAGUCUUUCUGAGGAAAUUACUUCAAACAUCCUGAGUAUCAUAGAAUCAUUAAGUUUGGAAAAGAUUGUUAUAAUCAGCUGUCCACUUAACA
rnacentral:lncRNA from 1 species